CGUAAUUUGUGGAUGGCGCCUAAUCGGAAUUUGGGAAGCGAGAGUAGACAUUGCCCACCAAUUGUUAAGGAAUUUUUCGGAAUAACUUUUGAACUUCGAAGAAUCCAUUCAGAAGUGGAUAACUGACACUGAAGAAGUGAAACACCAAUUGCACAAUUAUGGGUCACUCUGUAACUCUGUAACUUAGACGAUUCGAGAUGCGGUACAAGCUUUUCCUCAAUCGACCUCCUGGCAAACGAAUUGCUGGAGUAGAUUGUCUACGAUAUCGCGCUCCAUUUUCCUUUGAAUGUUGCUAGAAAAUGAAACCGUACAUCAGAAAAAACUCCUACAAGAGUUCCUCUGAAAUUCUUUCAUAAGAGUCCCGAGAAUUUCUUCAGGAGUUGAGUUUCCCAAGAAUUCUUCCAGGAAUUUCUCUACAAGUUCCUCCAGGAGUUCCUCGGAGUACAGGAGUUCCACGGCAAUUCCUCCAGGACUUCCUCGUUAAUUCCUCCAGGUGAUCUUCGGGAAUUCCACAAGGAGCUCUUAGGAAAUUCCUCCACAAGUUCUUCGGGAACUUAUCUAGGGGUUCAUCAGGGGUUCCCCGGCAUUUUUUUCCAGAAGUUCCCCGGAAAUUCCUCCAGGAAUGCCUCGGGAAUUCUUUCAGGAAUUCCCCGGAAAUUCCUACAGGAGUUUCUCGGGAAUUCCUCUAGGACUUCAUCGGGAAUUCCUCUAGGAGAUCGUCAGCAGUUUCUCGGAAAUUCUUCUAGGAGUUUCGGGAAUUCCUGCAGAAGAACCUCGGGAGUUACUCCAGAAGAUUCUCGUAAAUUCUUCCAGGAGUUCCACGAGAAUUCCUUCAGAUGAUCAUCGAAAAAUCCCCCAGGUGUUUCUCAGAAAAAUCCCUCAGGAGAUCCAUGGAAAUCCUUAAGGGAAUCUACGAGAAUUUGUCCAAAAGAUCCUCAACAAUUCCUCUAAGACAGGCCUGCCCAACCUUUAACGAUCGCGGGCCAUAUUUUACACUCCACACCUGUUGACGGGCCAGAAUUGAAAUUUUAUAAUCCAUACGUUUUCUUGAAACUUUUCUUAGCAUUUCUUGCCAAGGCUAUGGCUAAUUCCUAUAAAUCCAAAUUCGUUCAAAUUCUGGAAUAAUUUUGGAGUUGGUGAAGAUAUUGUAAAAAGUUGUCUUCAUAAACGAAGAUUCGUAUUUUUUGUGUUGUCCCAGAACUUGCCGGAAUUUUGAGAUUAUAGCCACAUAAAUAAAAUCUCAAAAAUACACAAGAAUUGUUAUUGAAUCUUCUAUGAAUUUUAAGAUUUUUUUUCCUUCCGCUGUUGGAGAAAAUUAAGCCAUUGCGCACAAUAAACUGAAGUUUUGAACCGAAUUUCUGAAAAUGAGUAGAAUUACUUUGAGGUUACGCUGACAUGUUUGUUUUUAAAUUGCAAUGUGCAAUGUCAGCCAGAAUUCUGAAAAUUUUGCAAACAUUUCAAAGUUCAUUGUGAAAAUUUGAGGCCUCCCUUGGCCGAAAUUCUUACAGAACUCAAUAUAACUGAUUGAAAAUCUUUGAAAAUUUACCUAAAAAUAUAUGUCAAACUUGUUUUGAAAAUAUAAUUCAUUGGAAAAAGAGAAACAUUCAAAAUAAUUGCUCCACCGGCCAAAAGUCAUAACUUUUCUUCAUUCGUGCCGCGGGCCGCAUGAAAUGUCCUCGCGGGCCGGAUGCGGCCCGCGGGCCGUACGUUGAGCAGCCCUGCUCUAGGAGUUUCUUUAGAAUUCAUUCACGGAUCCUCAGGAAUUCCUUCAAGAGAUUCUCCGGUAUUUCUACAGGAGAUCCUCGGUACAUUCCUUCCAGGAGUUCUUCGGGAAUUCUUGCAUGAGUUCCUCGGGAGUUCCUCCAGAAAAUUCCUUCAGGAAUUCCUUAAAAAGUUUCUCGGGAAAACCCAGGAGUUCCUUGGGAAAUCCUCUUGGGAUUCCUCGGUAAUUUCCCGAGGAGUUACAUGUUUCUCGGGAAUCCCUCCACGAAUUCAACGAGCAGUUUUUUCAUAGUUUCUCGAGGUUCUUUUGCGGCAGUUCUUCGGGAAUUCCUCUUGGUCCCCAGAAAACCUACUGUAAGAGUUUUCUGGGAAUUCCCGACGAUUAGGUAAGAUCCAGAUGAAUUUCUGAUAAACUACUGAAAUAUUUCCCGAGAAUCUUCUGGAAGAAUUCCCGAGAAAAUGAUAGAGGGAUUCUCGAUGAACUUCUGGAGGAGUUCCUAGUUCCUAGUUUUUUGGGGAUUCUUCUAGAAGUUACACCAUAAUUCUUUCAGAGUUCCUCGGGAAUUUCUCCUCGAGUUCCUCGGAAAUUCUUCAAGAGAUUCUCGGGUAUGUCUCUAGGUGUUUCGGGAAUUCCUCCAGGAGUUUCUUGAUAAUUCUCAAAGGAGAUUUUUUUGGGAGAUCCCGUGUAACUUCUAGAGAAAUCCCAAAAAAAAAAAUCCGAUGAACUCCAGGAGGAAUCUCCGAGGAACUCCUAGAAGAAUUCCGAGGAGUACAUGAAGCAAUUUUCCAAUAAAUUUUCUAGCAACUCCUAUGGGAAUUUAAGAGGAUUUCAUAGAAGAAUUCUCAAGGAAUUUCUGAAGAACUCCUGAAAAAGUUGUUGGCAAACUCCUGGAGGAAUUUGCAAGGAACUUCUGAAGAAAAUUCGGAGGAACUCAUGUAGAAUUUCCCGAGGAGCUUCUAGAAGAAUUUUCAAGGAACUCCUGGUGGAAUUCCCAAGGAACUCCUAAAAGGAUUCUCAAGGAACCCCUAAAGGAAUUCUCGAAAACCUGCUGGAUUAAUUUCCGAGGAACUCCUGAAGAAAUUCUCUUGGAACUCCAGAAUGAAUACCCGAGGAGUUCUUAGAUGAAUUCUCGAGAAACUCCUAGUAGAGUUUCUGAGUUAUUCCGGUGAAAUUUCUGAGGAACUUCUGGAAGAAUUUCCAAGGAACUCUUGGAGGAAAGGAAUUCCCGAGGCGCUCCAGAGGAAUUCUCAAAGAACUCCUUGAAGGAAUUUCUGAAGGAAUUCCCGAGUAACUCCUGGAGGAAUAAAAAAAACUCUAGGAGAAAUUCUCGAGGAAUACAUGAAGAAAUUUUCUGGGAGCUCCUGAAAGGAUUCCCGACGAGCUGCUGGAGACAUUUUCGAGGAAUUCAGGUAGGAUUUCUUGAGGAACUCCCAGAAGAAUUUUUGAGGAACUUCUGGAGAAAAUACCGAGGAACUCCCGGAGUAAUUCGCUUGGAACUCCUGGAGGAAUUUCCGAGGAACUCCUAGAUGAAUUCUCGAGCAACUCUUGGUGGAAUUCCUGAGAAACUUCUGGGAGAAUUUCUGAGGAACUCUUAAAGGAUUUACUGAGGAAUUCCCGAGGAACUCCUAAAGGAAUUCUCGAGGAACACCAAUUCCCGAAGAACUCCAGGAUGAAUUCCCGAGGAACUUCUGGGAGAAUUUCCGAAGCCCUCCAGAAAAAAAAAAUCGGCAAACUCCUGGAGGAAUUUCCAGGAAACUGAAAGAAUUCCUGAGGUACCCCAGGUGGAAUAUCCGAAGAACACCUCCAAGAAUUCCUGAGGUAUUCCUGAUGAAAUCCUGUAGAAAUUCCCGUGGAACUUUAAGAGAGAUUCUCGAGGGACUACUGGAGAAAUCUUAACAGGCUUGAACAAAUCUUCGGAUAAGUCUGCGGAAAAUUCUGGAUGAAGCACUGUUUAAAAUUCAAACGAAGUUCUGGGGAGAAUUUCCGAUAAUAUCCGAUACCUUGGUAAUAUUCUAGAAGCAACCUCUGUUUUUGGAGAUUUUUGAAAUAUUGAAGAAUACCCAGUUCAAUUCCCAGAGGAAUUUUGUUGAUGCAAAUUUUAUAUUGUGUAAACAAUUGCGGAUGAAAAAAUAAAUCAAAAGAUAAGCAUACUUCCUAAAAUUUCCAUGACAUGGUGGUCGUCUAAUUUGAUUCGUAUUUUAACUAAAAACUGCUUCAAAAGUUCUGCCAAUAGGCUCCUAAAGGCCUAUCUCAAUUUCUGCAUAAUUCGAUCAAGCAUUGAUUAAAACGACAUGUUUACUCAUUUUUUAAGUAUUCCUAUUAGGUAAAGGCCAUAAAAUAUAUUUUCAAAAAUUUUAAUAAUUUUUGCAACACUCCUUGUUUAGCACUCAAUUUUGGGUAAAUUUUGUUUACCGUGUAUGUCAAACAGGAACAUUUGUUGUCAAAAGUGAGCCAAUGUGGUGUCUUUUGCAACCCGCCGUUUCAUUUUCGUUACGUCAAGGUUGACCUCGAAUGUCAAACAAGACUUGCUCAUCAUUAUUUUAUUUUCGAGUUUAUUAACUCAAGAGCAAAUUUUCAAUCCGACCUAAGUAACAAAAUAAACAAAAAUGAGAUUUUUGCAUAUAAUGAUACCUAACGGACUGCUUAACACUGUUAUGCAAGGACAAAAGUUAAAAGUAGUCAAAAACCUUAGAAAUUUCAAAAAUCAAAUUGACUCAAGUAACAUACUGAGCACUUUUCGUAUGUGUCGCUUUGUCGGUACAAUGACUUAUGUAACGCGCAUAACUCUCAAGCGACGUAACAGUGCCGUCAAAAAGACCUAACAACCAAAAUGUUGUCAACAUAAAUCAUAAUUGUUUACGUCAAAACUAAAACUGACCUUAAUUAAAUCACCUGUACAAUCCCCAGCGGGUUACCUUCUAUAAGAGACUCGUUCGAUAUUUUCCAGGACUCGCUUGAUGAAUCGCACCAGAAAGGAGACCGUUCGAUGGCAGAUCCGGAUGAUGGUGUACCGAAUAUGCAAAUAUAUCUACUCGGUGUACCGAUAUCUAAACAUCGCCAAGCCUCUGUACCCGGAACACUUUGGUAAGCUUGAGUGCCUCGAACCGACCACCAGUCCUCGAUUCACAGGGGCGAUGUUGCUGACCACAAACUUUUUGGUGAAUUCGAGGUGGGUCUGGCACUAAAAGCCUUGUGUCGCCAGAGAUGGCCCGUUGCUUGUCCGACGAAGUGAAAUCCCAUAGAAAUCUUUCUGGUAGCGAACCGAUCACAGCUGUGCAGGAAGAAACACGGUAUCAAUCGCUGGCGUUAUUAUUAAGGGAAUGUGAGAGAAGAACCGGGAGGUGCAGGUGAAAAUCCUCCUUAUUAAAAAAAAACUCAAACCCAACGACCAGGACGCUAAUGCCAUCAGAGACGUGCAAAAACAUCGAGAACUAUAUUCAGUAUGGGUGCUCACGAACAGUAUCAGAACCAUACAGUGACCACGAACUCUGUAUUAUCUUGGAAUAUCUCAAUUUCUGGACAUAUGGAUACGAUGUCGGGGAUCUCGUUCAUCCUGAUCGAUUUCCAGCACACAUUGGUGAAGUUCAUGAAGUUAUUGUUUGUUCUGAAAACACUGAAAAAAUAAACCGAUUCCAUUGCCUUCCAGAAGCUCAACUGCGUCAGUCAAACUUGAGAUAAAAUGUCUGUUUUUUUUUAAAUAAUUAUCAAUAAAGGAAAUAUUUACCACA